CCCCCUGUACUUGGUUAAUCCUAGCACGAGAUAAUUAAUUCAAGGCAUAGUACAACAGAUGAUUUAUUUUAAAUGAAGCUCAUGUAUACCCCCUUAGUUGACCUUAGAAGUUAGAACAUUGAAGUUCCUUUUCUACUUCAGACAUGUUCCAUAAUAACUCCAGAGAAGCCUUUAGAGGGUUUUCAUAUAGUUGAUGCUGCAAUGGAGCAGGAGGCUUUUUUGUCGUAAUUACCUUUGGAUUUUCAGUGUUAUUUAUGACAGAUUCAUUGUUAUAUCUUGCCUAUAUAAAUCUAAAGUGUGCUUAACUUUCUA